UUGAACGCUGGCGGCAGGCCUAACACAUGCAAGUCGAGCGGAUGAAGGGAGCUUGCUCCUGGAUUCAGCGGCGGACGGGUGAGUAAUGCCUAGGAAUCUGCCUGGUAGUGGGGGAUAACGUCCGGAAACGGGCGCUAAUACCGCAUGCGUCCUGAGGGAGAAAGUGGGGGAUCUUCGGACCUCACGCUAUCAGAUGAGCCUAGGUCGGAUUAGCUAGUUGGUGGGGUAAAGGCCUACCAAGGCGACGAUCCGUAACUG
rnacentral:rRNA from 1 species